GCAAGGUGCGCGCAAACAGGUGACAAGUAGGAACAAGUCUUGUGAAGAAGAGAGCAACCUGCUUUCUUGAAGAUUCAAGUUAUUUUAUUCUCCGUCUGAGGACACACACACCUCGUUGCUUGGGCCGCAAAGCCGUUGACAGUUUAAUAUCUGAGGAGGUGAGAAAGAAAUUUCUUGGACUAUUCUGAAGAAAACUAACGAAGUUGAUUAUGAUUAGAUGACACUACCUGUUGAUAACAUCACAGAACAGAGGUCUGUCCAGAAUGCUAGUAAAAGCCCUAAAGGACCCAUAUCGUCGUUGUCAUCAUUUAACAUCCAUUUUCCAUGCUGGCAUGGGUUGGACGGUUUGACCAGGGCUGUCAAGCUGCCCCAGGAUCCAGUUACCUGGUUGGAUGUGCUCCCUUCCAAGCACCUUCCAGAGUGGUGGUGUUAAAAUGGUGAUGUAUUAAAUCUGCAAAUAUUCUUUAAUCAUUGAUCAUUUGGCUUAAUCAGAAAUUCUUAGCGAUGAAAUGUGAAUUGUCAAAUGUCCUCAGUCCACUUAGCUGUAAAUAUGUACCACGAUGUAGAAAGAAUUGGUGUCCAUGGCCAAGACACUCAUUUGCCCCAGCAUGGUCAACAACUUGUGUCCAGAGCCAGGACACUCGACUACUUCAGCAAGGCCACAGUCCACCUAGCUAUAAUUAGGUACCAUGGCUGUCACGUCCUUUGUCCUUCUUAUUUAAAUGGGGAGAACAAUUGUAUCAAUGCCAGUACUUGUUAUUUUUAUUUCAUCUGCCCCUGGUUGGGAUAAAUGUGAAGUUGAUUUCACAGGAUUUGAACUAAAAUAUAACAUAGCAUCGUGUUUGAUCCAGGGCUGUGGAGUUGGAGUCAGAAGCAAUUAAGGGGUAGCUGGAGUCAAAGUCAGUAAAACUAUACCGACUCUGACUCACAAUAUCUUUAUUCUUUAAUAUAAACCAGUUGUAACAUAGGGGCCUACGCAAAGUACAAGAGUACACAUGCUUUAUGAGAGAUGUAGACCACAAUCACUUAAUUACAUAAAGAGGAGUCGGGGGUGCCAUAGUAGAAAUCUCAAAGCUAUGAGACAAUGCAGGAGUAAUUUAAAAUGCUGUAAAUAUGUAAGGGAUGUGUAUAUUCACCAUUAUUUCAUUCAAUUUUAGAAAAACUGAAGCAUGUCUUUGACAAUUUUGGUGUGUAUUGAACUUAUUUUAUUUUGUGCAUGACUUAUCGCCAACACUGUAUAUGUGUGCAUGUAUAUGUAGUUAAAAAUUACAGAAAAACAAGAGAUGAAGACAGGUGUAUUAGUUUGACGUUCGGGAAAGUGAGAAGGUCUUUUACAUUUCAAGCAUAUGCUCUUCAGCAGAGUAGGAGGUUAAAGGAGGAUAAAAUUGGGGUGACCACGAGAGAGCAGAAUAUAUAGUUGAAAUUUACAGAAGUGUGUGUGUAUGUGUUGUGUAUUUAUGUGUUUAUUAGUGUGUAUAUAGAGAUAUGACAAUGCUAAAAUGACCGUGUGUGUGUGUGUGUGUGUGUGUAUAUAUGCGUAUUGCUUAAUCUCUGUGUAUGUAUAUGUGACUUUUGAGCCUGUCCGGCUUCACCCAUUUCAUCGUUGAAGCUGUCCUGUUCACCGUUCUUUAACAAGUAACCAUUUAGGUCGUGAUGUUUGCAAUUUUGGUAUCCAUACGAAACAAAUUGCACUCGUCCCGGCCUGCAUGAAUGCUUCCAACAUCCGAAGAUCAUCGAAAAGAAGAUUUCUGGUGAUGCCAACACCAUCGGAUUAUUUUUAAUUCAUGUCAUUCACAACGUAUUGGUUUGCUCUGAAAACCCUGUUGGGAUUCUGAUUGAAACGCAAUUAGUACUGCAAUAAUAAUCAUAAAUAUGUUCAGAAAUGUUUAUUAUUGCCUGAAUUUGGAUGAAACUUGAUCUUUUAUUCGUUUCAGGCAUUUUGACUGCGGCCAUGCUGGAUCACCGCCUUUAGUUGAGCAAAUCGACCCCAGGACUUAUUCUUUGUAAGCCUAGUACUUAUUCAAUCGGUCUCUAUACAUCAUCAUCAUCGUUUAACGUCCGCUUUCCAUGCUAGCAUGGGUUGGACGACUUGACUGAGGACUCGUGAAACCGGAUGGCAACACCAGGCUCCAAUCUAAAUUUGGCAGAGUUUCUACAGCUAG